GGAAGGGCCAUAGCUCAGCAGUAGAGCGUCUACCUUUCAUGCAGAGGGUCCCAGGUUCAAUCCCCAGCACCUCUA